CGUGGGGGGGUGCUAUAAUGCAAGUCGAGCGGACAGAUGGGAGCUUGCUCCCUGAUGUUAGCGGCGGACGGGUGAGUAACACGUGGGUAACCUGCCUGUAAGACUGGGAUAACUCCGGGAAACCGGGGCUAAUACCGGAUGGUUGUCUGAACCGCAUGGUUCAGACAUAAAAGGUGGCUUCGGCUACCACUUACAGAUGGACCCGCGGCGCAUUAGCUAGUUGGUGAGGUAACGGCUCACCAAGGCGACGAUGCGUAGCCGACCUGAGAGGGUGAUCGGCCACACUGGGACUGAGACACGGCCCAGACUCCUACGGGAGGCAGCAGUAGGGAAUCUUCCGCAAUGGACGAAAGUCUGACGGAGCAACGCCGCGUGAGUGAUGAAGGUUUUCGGAUCGUAAAGCUCUGUUGUUAGGGAAGAACAAGUGCCGUUCAAAUAGGGCGGCACCUUGACGGUACCUAACCAGAAAGCCACGGCUAACUACGUGCCAGCAGCCGCGGUAAUACGUAGGUGGCAAGCGUUGUCCGGAAUUAUUGGGCGUAAAGGGCUCGCAGGCGGUUUCUUAAGUCUGAUGUGAAAGCCCCCGGCUCAACCGGGGAGGGUCAUUGGAAACUGGGGAACUUGAGUGCAGAAGAGGAGAGUGGAAUUCCACGUGUAGCGGUGAAAUGCGUAGAGAUGUGGAGGAACACCAGUGGCGAAGGCGACUCUCUGGUCUGUAACUGACGCUGAGGAGCGAAAGCGUGGGGAGCGAACAGGAUUAGAUACCCUGGUAGUCCACGCCGUAAACGAUGAGUGCUAAGUGUUAGGGGGUUUCCGCCCCUUAGUGCUGCAGCUAACGCAUUAAGCACUCCGCCUGGGGAGUACGGUCGCAAGACUGAAACUCAAAGGAAUUGACGGGGGCCCGCACAAGCGGUGGAGCAUGUGGUUUAAUUCGAAGCAACGCGAAGAA
rnacentral:rRNA from 1 species